GCCGGGAUGGCGGAACUGGCAGACGCACGGGACUUAAAAUCCCGCGACCGUAAGGUUAUGAGGGUCCGACCCCCUCUCCCGGCACCA
rnacentral:tRNA from 1 species